GCUUGUAUUCGAUAAAAUUCAGUGGGGGUGAGUGUAACAGAGUUACAAAUGUACUUUUUUUUUAUUAUUUCAAAAUAAUUUUAUAUUGAGAAUUUGUGAAUUUUAUCUUAUUCAGUUAUGUUUAUUUGUUUUGUUGUUUUUUUUGCCUGCGGGGGUCGCUUUUUUGCACUCUGCCUUGUUUGUGUCUCCUGGGCUUCCGUAGUUCAUUCCAGCCCUCGUAGCUCCUCCGCCUUCCCCUUUUCCCUCACAGCGUUGUUGCGCGCUGCUGCGGGGCUGGAAUGCAGGGAAACUGAAUUGAAGAGGAGGUUAAUUUGUUUUUACUCUUCUUUCCCAGAAUAAAAGCUCUCAUUGAAACCUGGUCGAAUGUCAUCAUU